rnacentral:lncRNA from 1 species
UAGCCCACUCAAAUAUCUCAUGUAAAUUCCACUAAGAUUUGAAGUCAAUCCUACCCAUUUUUACGUGUGAAAAUUUUCAAUGCCACAGCUUGCUGCAAAAACCAUUUCUGGGCCUCUCGAUAUUUAUGAUGUCAGCAAAUGAGUGAACCAACUGUCCAGCUACGCUAUAGGAUCGUCAAUCAGGGUCUGGAUAAAAGUGUUGACCACUCUGCGUUCCUGCUCGGUUGAGCUUAAACUAAACCAUUUCCUGACGCUUCACCGUUGGAUCUAUGGUGGGUCCAGUUUUCGGAUUCACCACUGUUGGGUUAUCUGGCUCACCGUCAACUUCAUCCUUGUAAGAAUCAGUUGGAACGACUAUUUCUUCGUUUAAAUCUGGUACAGUAGCAACGUUCAAGUUGAGCCCUUUUAAAUCUGGGCUCGCUUCAUCUGACUUUGGUGUUUCGAGCUUGAUCACUUUACUAAUUCCACUCAGAUCUGCACCUGAAAUUAGGUAUACAAAUGAACAAGAUUCCAUUUUUUGAACAUACCUGAUGAAUGAAGAAGAUGAACAAGCAGAUGAGUUAUAUGAGGGUAAUUGGGUAAUUUCUCAGUAAAAAGGGGAAAUAUGUAAUUGAUUUUAUGAUUUGGGGAAAUACGUAAUAAGAAGGCUUAGGAGGGGGAAAUAUGUAAAAAUCCCAAGUUGGGGGCUGUUUUGGAAAGAAAGCAAGGUAGGAGGGUUAGAAGUUGUAGAAGUUGAAAGCUGGAGGGUUCCUAUCCUGAUAUCAGCGUUGGUGAGCAUCCUGGGCGUUUCCCUUCGUUGGUGGGCUAUUACUUUCAAGACAGUAUUGGUGGGAUUGAUGAUGAUGAUGACCAAUAUACAAAAAAGAGGUGAACAGAUUUUGGUACCCUUGAUAUAACUCCAGUGGUCAAGCCUAUCCGUGAGCCACAUGUAGUCGGAUUGAUGGGAUUUGGUUAUGAAACUGUUGGGUUUGAGACUGUGUCGGUGAAAUGUAAGA